rnacentral:rRNA from 1 species
GAUUUAUCGGUAAGCGAUGGGGAUGCGUUCCAUUAGGCAGUUGGCGGGGUAACGGCCCACCAAACCUACGAUGGAUAGGGGUUCUGAGAGGAAGGUCCCCCACAUUGGAACUGAGACACGGUCCAAACUCCUACGGGAGGCAGCAGUGAGGAAUAUUGGUCAAUGGGCGAGAGCCUGAACCAGCCAAGUAGCGUGAAGGAUGACGGCCCUACGGGUUGUAAACUUCUUUUGUGCGGGAAUAAAGGAACCUACGUGUAGGUUUUUGCAUGUACCGUAACGAAUAAGCAUCGGCUAACUCCGUGCCAGCAGCCGCGGUAAUACGGAGGAUGCGAGCGUUAUCCGGAUUUAUUGGGUUUAAAGGGAGCGUAGACGGGUUUUUAAGUCAGCUGUGAAAGUUUGGGGCUCAACCUUAAAAUUGCAGUUGAAACUGGAGACCUUGAGUACGGUUGAGGCAGGCGGAAUUCGUGGUGUAGCGGUGAAAUGCUUAGAUAUCACGAAGAACCCCGAUUGCGAAGGCAGCCUGCUAAGCCGCCACUGACGUUGAGGCUCGAAAGUGCGGGUAUCAAACAGGAUUAGAUACCCUGGUAGUCCGCACGGUAAACGAUGGAUACUCGCUGUUGGCGAUAGACUGUCAGCGGCCAAGCGAAAGCGUUAAGUAUCCCACCUGGGGAGUACGCCGGCAACGGUGAAACUCAAAGGAAUUGACGGGGGCCCGCACAAGCGGAGGAACAUGUGGUUUAAUUCGAUGAUACGCGAGGAACCUUACCCGGGCUUGAACUGCAGUGGAAUUAUCCGGAAACGGAUAAGCGAGCAAUCGCCGCUGUGGAGGUGCUGCAUGGUUGUCGUCAGCUCGUGCCGUGAGGUGUCGGCUUAAGUGCCAUAACGAGCGCAACCCUUGCUGCCAGUUACUAACAGGUCAUGCUGAGGACUCUGGCAGGACUGCCAUCGUAAGAUGCGAGGAAGGUGGGGAUGACGUCAAAUCAGCACGGCCCUUACGUCCGGGGCUACACACGUGUUACAAUGGGGAGUACAGAGGGCAGCUACCGGGCGACCGGAUGCGAAUCCCGAAAGCUCCUCUCAGUUCGGACUGGAGUCUGCAACCCGACUCCACGAAGCUGGAUUCGCUAGUAAUCGCGCAUCAGCCACGGCGCGGUGAAUACGUUCCCGGGCCUUGUACACACCGCCCGUCAAGCCAUGAAAGCCGGGGGUACC